GACGAACGCUGGCGGCGUGCCUAAUACAUGCAAGUCGAGCGGACCGAACAGGAGCUUGCUCUUGUUCGGUUAGCGGCGGACGGGUGAGUAACACGUGGGUAACCUGCCCGUAAGACCGGGAUAACUCCGGGAAACCGGAGCUAAUACCGGAUAACACCGAAGACCGCAUGGUCUUUGGUUGAAAGGCGGCUUCGGCUGCCACUUACGGAUGGGCCCGCGGCGCAUUAGCUAGUUGGUGAGGUAACGGCUCACCAAGGCGACGAUGCGUAGCCGGCCUGAGAGGGUGACCGGCCACACUGGGACUGAGACACGGCCCAGACUCCUACGGGAGGCAGCAGUAGGGAAUCUUCCGCAAUGGACGAAAGUCUGGCGGAGCGACGCCGCGUGAGCGAAGAAGGUCGUCGGAUCGUAAAGCUCUGUUGUUAGGGAAGAAGAAGCGUCGUUCGAACAGGGCGGCGCGGUGACGGUACCUAACGAGAAAGCCCCGGCUAACUACGUG
rnacentral:rRNA from 1 species